rnacentral:rRNA from 1 species
AGAGUUGAGUCCUGGCUCAGGAUGAACGCUGGCGGCGUGCCUAAUACAUGCAAGUGAAACGGGUAUCUUCGGAUACCAGUCGCGGACGGGUGAGUAAUACAUAGGCAACCUGCCUUUAUGAGGGGGAUAACCGAGGGAAACUUUGGCUAAUACCGCAUGAAGACUCUAAGGCAUCUUAGAGGGAUAAAAGUUGGGAAACAACGCAUGAAGAUGGGCUUAUGGCGCAUUAGCUAGUUGGUGAGGUAGAAGCCCACCAAGGUAAUGAUGCGUAGCCGACCUGAGAGGGUGAACGGCCACAUUGGGACUGAGACACGGCCCAAACUCCUACGGGAGGCAGCAGUAGGGAAUUUUCGGCAAUGGGGGGAACCCUGGCCGAGCAACGCCGCGUGAAAAGGGAAGAAGGUUUUCGGAUUGUAAACUUCUGUUAUAAGGGAAGAACGGAUUGGAUAGGGAAUGAUCUGAUAGUGACGGUACCUUAUUAGAAAGCCACGGCUAACUACGUGCCAGCAGCGGC